GACGAACCGUACGAACGUUAUUCGGAAUCACUGGGCUUAAAGGGUGCGUAGGCGGCGUGUCGCGUCGGGAGUGAAAGACCGGGGCUUAACCCCGGUUCUGCUUCCGGUACGGGCAUGCUGGAGUGUGGCAGGGGAGACUGGAAUUCCUGAUGUAGCGGUGGAAUGCGCAGAUAUCAGGAGGAACACCGGUGGCGAAGGCGGGUCUCUGGGCCAUUACUGACGCUGAGGAGCGAAAGCGUGGGGAGCGAACAGG
rnacentral:rRNA from 1 species